ACGCUGGCGGUAGGCCUAACACAUGCAAGUCGAACGGCAGCACAGUAAGAGCUUGCUCUUACGGGUGGCGAGUGGCGGACGGGUGAGGAAUACAUCGGAAUCUACUUUUUCGUGGGGGAUAACGUAGGGAAACUUACGCUAAUACCGCAUACGACCUACGGGUGAAAGCAGGGGAUCUUCGGACCUUGCGCGAUUGAAUGAGCCGAUGUCGGAUUAGCUAGUUGGCGGGGUAAAGGCCCACCAAGGCGACGAUCCGUAGCUGGUCUGAGAGGAUGAUCAGCCACACUGGAACUGAGACACGGUCCAGACUCCUACGGGAGGCAGCAGUGGGGAAUAUUGGACAAUGGGCGCAAGCCUGAUCCAGCCAUACCGCGUGGGUGAAGAAGGCCUUCGGGUUGUAAAGCCCUUUUGCUGGGAAAGAAAAGCAGCAGGUUAAUACCCCGCUGUUCUGACGGUACCCAAAGAAUAAGCACCGGCUAACUUCGUG
rnacentral:rRNA from 1 species